ACACACACAAAAUACGCAUGCGCCAUCCAUAUUCCCAUAAUUCUCUCGUGUUGUGGCUCACAGUGAGAAGCUAACUGGCUGUCAUGUCUGAGAAGAAACAAACUGUAGAUUUGGGCUUGUUGGAGGAAGAUGACGAAUUUGAAGAAUUUCCAGCCGAAGAUUGGACAGGCCUGGAUGAAGAUGAGGAUGCUCAUGUGUGGGAAGAUAACUGGGAUGACGAUAACGUAGAAGAUGACUUCUCCAAUCAGCUGAGAGCUGAACUUGAGAAGCAUGGAUACAAGAUGGAGACGUCGUAACACUGACCAUCAGAUAACAUUCUGAUGAUUAGUUAACCAACUGAAAAUCGUCACUCUAUGAAUGUGAUUUUGUUUUUUCCUUGUAAGAAUGAUGAUGAGUGUUUUCAGUGUGAAGAAAAUUCAACGGAAUUAGUUUUUUUUUUCUUUAUCUUUCAAGAAACUGUUUGAAUGUGUUAAUAGUUGCCAUAUUAAAGCUAUUCUCUUCCUA